GGUGGUUUGGCGCGUUGUUCGUGAAAACUCACAGCUUAACUGUGGGCGUGCGGGCGAUACGGGCAGACUGGAGUACUGCAGGGGAGACUGGAAUUCCUGGUGUAGCGGUGGAAUGCGCAGAUAUCAGGAGGAACACCGGUGGCGAAGGCGGGUCUCUGGGCAGUAACUGACGCUGAGGAGCGAAAGCGUGGGGAGCGAACAGGAUUAGAUACCCUGGUAGUCCACGCCGUAAACGGUGGGUACUAGGUGUGGGUUUCCUUCCUUGGGAUCCGUGCCGUAGCUAACGCAUUAAGUACCCCGCCUGGGGAGUACGGCCGCAAGGCUAAAACUCAAAGGAAUUGACGGGGGCCCGCACAAGCGGCGGAGCAUGUGGAUUAAUUCGAUGCAACGCGAAGAACCUUACCUGGGUUUGACAUGCACAGGACGUCGGCAGAGAUGUCGGUUCCCUUGUGGCCUGUGUGCAGGUGGUGCAU
rnacentral:rRNA from 1 species